GUCUUUCAAGGUUUCGAGUUUGGUCUUUUGGUGCUCGUCGUGCUCUACUCAACCCUCUUCGAUUUGUGUUUUCUGAGGUGCAAAGGCAAUAUGCAGGCCAGUGAUAGGUUUAACAUCAAUUCCCAACUUGAGCAUCUCCAAGCUAAAUAUAUUGGAACUGGGCAUGCGGAUUUAAAUAGAUUUGAGUGGGCGGUGAACAUUCAGCGUGAUAGCUAUGCAUCAUAUGUUGGCCGCUACCCUAUACUGGCAUACUUUGCUAUUGCUGAAAAUGAAUCGAUUGGAAGAGAACGCUACAGCUUCAUGCAGAUAAAGCUAAUGCUAUGGGAAUAGGCAGUGGGGUCAAGGGGCCUGAGUAGGGAUCGCUGGAUUAAAGACGCCAAACUCAUUGUGGUUGCCAUGUGAGCUAUCAGUUCAUUGGCCAUAUAAAGCAUUUUAAUCAAAAAAUGCUCCUGCCUUGUGGCUUGCCUCCAGAAAGGGAAGAAGAUUGAUAAUUACUAUAUGGAUCACAUAAUGGAUCAUUACUGGCUGUAGCAUUGGAUCAUUUGUCAUACUAUGUUGUUCGGAUGAUCGUACCACUUGUAUGGCACUGAUUAGAGUUUGUUUCAUCCUGUUAGAGUUCUAGCUGCUCAAGCAUUUUUCACUCUGGAGCUCGGAAAUUUAGAUCAGGGGAUAAUGCGCUUACUGCUUUGUUUGUUUAUAGUGCUAUUAUUUCCCGAGGGCAGACCCUUUUUAAAUUGAUAAUGUUAUGUUAAGCGUUGGGUUAUGUUUUGAGACAUAUCAAUACUGCCUCGGCCAUAUUUCUAUAAAGCAAAUAGCUUUUGUUUCAUCUCAA